rnacentral:rRNA from 1 species
AUUGAACGCUGGCGGCAGGCCUAACACAUGCAAGUCGAACGAGUGGCGGACGGGUGAGUAAUGUCUGGGAAACUGCCUGAUGGAGGGGGGUAACUACUGGAAACGGUAGCUAAUACCGCAUACCAUCGGAUGUGCCCAGAUGGGAUUGGGCAGUAGGUGGGGUAACGGCUCACCUAGGCGACGAGCCCUAGCUGGGCUGAGAGGAUGACCGGCCACACUGGAACUGAGACACGGUCCAGGCUCCUGCGGGAGGCAGGAGUGGGGAAUAUGGCACAAUGGGCGCAGGCCUGAUGCAGCCAUGCCGCGUGUAUGAAGAAGGCCUUAGGGUUGUAGAGUGCUGUCAGCGGGGAGGCGUUACCCGCAGAAGAAGCACCGGCUAACUCCGUGCCAGCAGCCGCGGUAAUUC